rnacentral:tRNA from 1 species
GCCCUUGUGGCGGAAUUGGUAGACGCACGGGACUUAAAAUCCCGAGCUCCGAGAGGGGCGUGCCGGUUCGAGUCCGGCCGGGGGCACCA